CGGACGAAUUAUGAAUUUGGCGCUGAGUUGAUUUGGAGUAGUACUAUGGUUUUGGGUACUCACAUAGUACAUUCCGAAUCGACUCGUUAACAAAUUUAAAUUCAACAA
rnacentral:pre_miRNA from 1 species